rnacentral:rRNA from 1 species
AUUGAACGCUGGCGGCAUGCCUUACACAUGCAAGUCGAACGGCAGCACGGGGCAACCUGGUGGCGAGUGGCGAACGGGUGAGUAAUGCAUCGGAACGUACCUUUCAGUGGAGGAUAACGUAGCGAAAGUUACGCUAAUACCGCAUAUUCUGUGAGCAGGAAAGCAGGGGAUCGCAAGACCUUGCGCUGAUUGAGCGGCCGAUGUCAGAUUAGCUAGUUGGUGAGGUAAAGGCUCACCAAGGCGACGAUCUGUAGCGGGUCUGAGAGGAUGAACCGCCACACUGAAACUGAGACACGGUCCAGACUCCUACGGGAGGCAGCAGUGGGGAAUUUUGGACAAUGGGGGCAACCCUGAUCCAGCCAUGCCGCGUGAGUGAAGAAGGCCUUCGGGUUGUAAAGCUCUUUCGGCCGGGAAGAAAUCGCACGGGCUAAUACCCUGUGUGGAUGACGGUACCGGAAUAAGAAGCACCGGCUAACUACGUGCCAGCAGCCGCCGUAAGAC